GUAAUGGAGCAGAGGGGAUGUCACCGGGUCGCUCUGAGGUAUUUUAACGUUUCCUGCGGGACAGAGAAGGAGAGAGAGCGAUAAAACCAAGAGUCAGCAGACUGAACUGGAAGAGCAUCAUUCAGGGCGCGUUCGGAGCUGGACAGCAGCAUCGCUUCAACUCAUUGUGUUCUACUGAUCAGCCCUGUGGAAACGCGACUGAAUGAACGACGUGGUACGUGCUUUCAACAGCAGAGGAUUUCGAGAGAAAGACCAAGAGAGAACCCACUGGUGAGAUUCACAUUCAGACUGACUGACAUCCUGACAGCGUGGACUGGGGGAGCUCACCACUGAGCAGGGCAGUGCGUUCACACCGAGAUUCAUCCUGACAGCACGGACUGAGGGAGCUCACCACUGAGCAGGGCAGCGCGUUCACACCGAGAUUCAUCCUGACAGCACGGACUGGGGGAGCUCACCACUGAGCAGGGCAGCGCGUUCACACCGAGAUUCAUCCUGACAGCACGGACUGGGGGAGCUCACCACUGAGCAGGGCAGCGCGUUCACACCGAGAUUCAUCCUGACAGCACG